rnacentral:rRNA from 1 species
GCAGCUACCAUGCAGUCGACGGUGAAGCCAAGCUUGCUUGGUGGAUCAGUGGCGAACGGGUGAGUAACACGUGAGCAACCUGCCCUGGACUCUGGGAUAAGCGCUGGAAACGGCGUCUAAUACUGGAUAUGAGACGUGAUCGCAUGGUCGUGUUUGGAAAGAUUUUUCGGUCUGGGAUGGGCUCGCGGCCUAUCAGCUUGUUGGUGAGGUAAUGGCUCACCAAGGCGUCGACGGGUAGCCGGCCUGAGAGGGUGACCGGCCACACUGGGACUGAGACACGGCCCAGACUCCNUACGGGAGGCAGCAGUGGGGAAUAUUGCACAAUGGGCGGAAGCCUGAUGCAGCAACGCCGCGUGAGGGAUGACGGCCUUCGGGUUGUAAACCUCUUUUAGCAGGGAAGAAGCGAAAGUGACGGUACCUGCAGAAAAAGCGCCGGCUAACUACGUGCCAGCAGCCGCGGUAAUACGUAGGGCGCAAGCGUUAUCCGGAAAUUAUUGGGCGUAAAGAGCUCGUAGGCGGUUUGUCGCGUCUGCUGUGAAAUCCCGAGGCUCAACCUCGGGCCUGCAGUGGGUACGGGCAGACUAGAGUGCGGUAGGGGAGAUUGGAAUUCCUGGUGUAGCGGUGGAAUGCGCAGAUAUCAGGAGGAACACCGAUGGCGAAGGCAGAUCUCUGGGCCGUAACUGACGCUGAGGAGCGAAAGGGUGGGGAGCAAACAGGCUUAGAUACCCUGGUAGUCCACCCCGUAAACGUUGGGAACUAGUUGUGGGGACCAUUCCACGGUUUCCGUGACGCAGCUAACGCAUUAAGUUCCCCGCCUGGGGAGUACGGCCGCAAGGCUAAAACUCAAAGGAAUUGACGGGGACCCGCACAAGCGGCGGAGCAUGCGGAUUAAUUCGAUGCAACGCGAAGAACCUUACCAAGGCUUGACAUAUACGAGAACGGGCCAGAAAUGGUCAACUCUUUGGACACUCGUAAACAGGUGGUGCAUGGUUGUCGUCAGCUCGUGUCGUGAGAUGUUGGGUUAAGUCCCCGCAACGAGCGCAACCCUCGUUCUAUGUUGCCAGCACGUAAUGGUGGGAACUCAUGGGAUACUGCCGGGGUCAACUCGGAGGAAGGNNUGGGGAUGACGUCAAAUCAUCAUGCCCCUUAUGUCUUGGGCUUCACGCAUGCUACAAUGGCCGGUNACAAAGGGCUGCAANUACCGUNNNNGAGGUGGGAGCGAAUCCCAAAAAGCCGGUCCCAGUUCGGAUUGAGGUCUGCAACUCGACCUCAUGAAGUCGGAGUCGCUAGUAAUCGCAGAUCAGCAACGCUGCGGUGAAUACGUUCCCGGGUCUUGUACACACCGCCCGUCAAGUCAUGAAAGUCGGUAACACCUGAAGCCGGUGGCCCAACCCUUGUGGAGGAGCCGUCGAANGUGAUCCG